AAGAAGCAAGAAAGAGCUCGUGAAUCAAACGUUGCAAAUUUCUCCACAAGUUUCAAGCUUCAAGCAAUCAAGUUCAAGUUCAAGCAAUCACGUUCAAGCUCAAGAACCAAUAACAAAUAAUUUCAAACUCAAGAACAAGAUCAUCGUUCGCGGCAACAAAUAUAGAUUCAAGAUCAAUCUCCAAGACCCUUGAAUUUAUUUACCAUUAGAAAGAAGAAUCAGAGGAUUCAUGGAGAUUGUACACUCAAAUAUUCGAAAUAAAAUGCUACUUUGUGAAUAUGUUGCGAUAUUUUUCGGUCUUGAUUUUAUUUUCUCGAACCAAAUUUAUUGUGUACAUAUGAUUUUGGAUUCUAAGCUAAAAACUAUUAAACCUUUGGGAUCGUUUAGAAUACGGUAUAAG
rnacentral:lncRNA from 1 species